rnacentral:rRNA from 1 species
GAUGAACGCUGGCGGCGUGCUUAACACAUGCAAGUCGAACGGAAAGGCUCCUGCUUGCAGGGGUACUCGAGUGGCGAACGGGUGAGUAACACGUGGGUGAUCUGCCCUGCACUUCGGGAUAAGCCUGGGAAACUGGGUCUAAUACCGGAUAGGACGAUGGUUUGGAUGCCAUUGUGGAAAGUUUUUUCGGUGUGGGAUGAGCUCGCGGCCUAUCAGCUUGUUGGUGGGGUAAUGGCCUACCAAGGCGUCGGCGGGUAGCCGGCCUGAGAGGGUGUACGGCCACAUUGGGACUGAGAUACGGCCCAGACUCCUACGGGAGGCAGCAGUGGGGAAUAUUGCACAAUGGGCGCAAGCCUGAUGCAGCGACGCCGCGUGGGGGAUGACGGCCUUCGGGUUGUAAACUCCUUUCGCUAGGGACGAAGCGCAAGUGACGGUACCUGGAGAAGAAGCACCGGCUAACUACGUG